rnacentral:tRNA from 1 species
UAGCCUAGUAGUUAAGGCUAUGGAUCGCCAUUCCGGAGACGGCGGGUUCGAUUCCCGC